rnacentral:rRNA from 1 species
AGUGAACGUUGGCGGUAGGCCUAACACAUGCAAGUCGAACGGCAGCACAGUAAGAGCUUGCUCUUACGGGUGGCGAGUGGCGGACGGGUGAGGAAUACAUCGGAAUCUACUUUUUCGUGGGGGAUAACGUAGGGAAACUUACGCUAAUACCGCAUACGACCUACGGGUGAAAGCAGGGAUCUUCGGACCUUGCGCGAUUGAAUGAGCCGAUGUCGGAUUAGCUAGUUGGCGGGGUAAAGGCCCACCAAGGCGACGAUCCGUAGCUGGUCUGAGAGGAUGAUCAGCCACACUGGAACUGAGACACGGUCCAGACUCCUACGGGAGGCAGCAGUGGGGAAUAUUGGACAAGGGGCGCAAGCCUGAUCCAGCCAUACCGCGUGGGUGAAGAAGGCCUUCGGGUUGUAAAGCCCUUUUGUUGGGAAAGAAAAGCAGCAGGUUAAUACCCCGCUGUUCUGACGGUACCCAAAGAAUAAGCACCGGCUAACUUCGUG